GAUGAACGCUAGCGGCAGGCCUAACACAUGCAAGUCGAGGGGUAGCAGGAUUAAGCUUGCUUAAUUGCUGACGACCGGCGCACGGGUGCGUAACGCGUAUGCAACCUACCUUAUACUGGGGUAUAGCCCGGAGAAAUUCGGAUUAAUCCCCCAUAGUACUAAUGAAUCGCAUGGUUUAUUAGUUAAAGCAUUGUGGUAUAAGAUGGGCAUGCGUCCUAGUACCUAGAUGGUGAGGUAACGGCUCACCAUGGCUACGAUAGGUAGGGGGCCUGAGAGGGUGGUCCCCCACACUGGUACUGAGACACGGACCAGACUCCUACGGGAGGCAGCAGUGAGGAAUAUUGGUCAAUGGGCGCAAGCCUGAACCAGCCAUGCCGCGUGCAGGAAGAAUGCCCUAUGGGUUGUAAACUGCUUUUAUUUGGGAAUAAACCUCUUUACGUGUAGAGAGCUGAAGGUACCAAAUGAAUAAGCACCGGCUAACUCCGUGCCAGCCGCCGCAGUAA
rnacentral:rRNA from 1 species